rnacentral:rRNA from 1 species
AUUGAACGCUGGCGGCAGGCCUAACACAUGCAAGUCGAGCGAGCGGCGGACGGGUGAGUAAUGUCUGGGAAACUGCCUGAUGGAGGGGGAUAACUACUGGAAACGGUAGCUAAUACCGCAUACCAUCAGAUGUGCCCAGAUGGGAUUAGCUAGUAGGUGGGGUAACGGCUCACCUAGGCGACGAUCACUAGCUGGUCUGAGAGGAUGACCAGCCACACUGGAACUAAGCACCGGUCCAGACUCCUACGGUAGGCCACCGGGGGGAAUAUAGCACAUUGGGCGCAAGCCUGAGGCAGCCAUGCCGCGUGUGUGAAGAAGGCCUUCGGGUUGUAAAGCACUUUCAUCGGGGAGGCGUUACCCGCAGAAGAAGCACCGGCUAACUCCGUGCCAGCAGCCGCGGUAAUAC